rnacentral:rRNA from 1 species
GAUGAACGCUGGCGGCGUGCCUAAUACAUGCAAGUCGAGCGAACGGACGAGAAGCUUGCUUCUCUGAUGUUAGCGGCGGACGGGUGAGUAACACGUGGAUAACCUACCUAUAAGACUGGGAUAACUUCGGGAAACCGGAGCUAAUACCGGAUAAUAUUUUGAACCGCAUGGUUCAAAAGUGAAAGACGGUCUUGCUGUCACUUAUAGAUGGAUCCGCGCUGCAUUAGCUAGUUGGUAAGGUAACGGCUUACCAAGGCAACGAUGCAUAGCCGACCUGAGAGGGUGAUCGGCCACACUGGAACUGAGACACGGUCCAGACUCCUACGGGAGGCAGCAGUAGGGAAUCUUCCGCAAUGGGCGAAAGCCUGACGGAGCAACGCCGAGUGAGUGAUGAAGGUCUUCGGAUCGUAAAACUCUGUUAUUAGGGAAGAACAUAUGUGUAAGUAACUGUGCACAUCUUGACGGUACCUAAUCAGAAGGCCACGGCUAACUACGUG